rnacentral:rRNA from 1 species
GAUGAACGCUAGCGGCAGGCUUAACACAUGCAAGUCGAGGGGUAACAGGGUUGCUUGCAACCGCUGACGACCGGCGCACGGGUGCGUAACGCGUAUAGAACCUACCUUAUAUUGGGGGAUAGCCCAGAGAAAUUUGGAUUAAUACCCCAUAAUAUUAUGAAUUGGCAUCAGUUUUUAAUUAAAGAUUUAUUGAUAUAAGAUGGCUAUGCGUCCUAUUAGCUGGUUGGUAUGGUAACGGCAUACCAAGGCAACGAUAGGUAGGGGUCCUGAGAGGGAGAUCCCCCACACUGGUACUGAGACACGGACCAGACUCCUACGGGAGGCAGCAGUGAGGAAUAUUGGACAAUGGAGGCAACUCUGAUCCAGCCAUGCCGCGUGUAGGAAGACUGCCCUAUGGGUUGUAAACUACUUUUAUAUAGGAAGAAACUGCUCUACGUGUAGAGUUCUGACGGUACUAUAAGAAUAAGCAUCGGCUAACUCCG